rnacentral:rRNA from 1 species
AUUGAACGCUGGCGGCAUGCCUUACACAUGCAAGUCGAACGGCAGCACGGGAGCAAUCCUGGUGGCGAGUGGCGAACGGGUGAGUAAUAUAUCGGAACGUGCCCAGUCGUGGGGGAUAACGCAGCGAAAGCUGUGCUAAUACCGCAUACGAUCUAAGGAUGAAAGCGGGGGAUCGCAAGACCCCGCGCGAUUGGAGCGGCCGAUAUUAGAUUAGCUAGUUGGGGGGGUAAAGGCCCACCAAGGCGACGAUCUGUAGCUGGUCUGAGAGGACGACCAGCCACACUGGAACGGAGACACGGUCCAGACUCCUACGGGAGGCAGCAGUGGGGAAUUUUGGACAAUGGGCGCAAGCCUGAUCCAGCAAUGCCGCGUGCAGGAUGAAGGCCUUCGGGUUGUAAACUGCUUUUGUACGGAACGAAACGGCCCUUUCUAAUACAGGGGGCUAAUGACGGUACCGUAAGAAUAAGCACCGGCUAACUACGUGCCAGCCGCCGCCGUAA